AACGAACGCUGGCGGCGUGCUUAACACAUGCAAGUCGAACGGUAAGGCUCCUUCGGGAGUACACGAGCGGCGAACGGGUGAGUAACACGUGAGCAAUCUGCCCUUCACUUUGGGAUAACCACCGGAAACGGUGGCUAAUACCGAAUACGACCACUUCAGGCAUCUGAUGGUGGUGGAAAGUUCCGGCGGUGAAGGAUGAGCUCGCGGCCUAUCAGCUUGUUGGUGAGGUAAUGGCUCACCAAGGCUUCGACGGGUAGCCGGCCUGAGAGGGUGACCGGCCACACUGGGACUGAGACACGGCCCAGACUCCUACGGGAGGCAGCAGUGGGGAAUAUUGGACAAUGGGCGAAAGCCUGAUCCAGCAACGCCGCGUGAGGGAUGACGGCCUUCGGGUUGUAAACCUCUUUCAGCGGGGACGAAGCGAAAGUGACGGUACCCGCAGAAGAAGGACCGGCCAACUACGUGCCAGCAGCCGCCGUAAAAC
rnacentral:rRNA from 1 species